rnacentral:tRNA from 1 species
UAAAGAAAAGCAUGGUGGAAGUGCGAAGGGUUUUGAUCUCUUAGGCAUAGGUUCGAUUCCUAUUUCUUUAA